GACGAACGCUGGCGGCGUGCUUAACACAUGCAAGUCGAACGGAAAGGCCCUGCUUUUGUGGGGUGCUCGAGUGGCGAACGGGUGAGUAACACGUGAGUAACCUGCCCUUGACUUUGGGAUAACUUCAGGAAACUGGGGCUAAUACCGGAUAGGAGCUCCUGCUGCAUGGUGGGGGUUGGAAAGUUUCGGCGGUUGGGGAUGGACUCGCGGCUUAUCAGCUUGUUGGUGGGGUAGUGGCUUACCAAGGCUUUGACGGGUAGCCGGCCUGAGAGGGUGACCGGCCACAUUGGGACUGGGAUACGGCCCACACUCCUACGGGGGGCAGCAGUGGGGAAUAUUGCACAAUGGGCGGAAGCCUGAUGCAGCAACGCCGCGUGCGGGAUGACGGCCUUCGGGUUGUAAACCGCUUUCGCCUGUGACGAAGCGUGGGUGACGGUAAUGGGUAAAGAAGCACCGGCUACCUACGU
rnacentral:rRNA from 1 species